UACGUAGGCAGCAAGCGUUGUUCGGAGUUACUGGGCGUAAAGCAUCCGUAGCCGGUCCUACAAGUCUUCCGUUAAAUCCACCUGCUUAACAGAUGGGCUGCGGAAGAUACUAUAGGGCUAGGAGGCGGGAGAGGCAAGCGGUACUCAGUGGGUAGGGGUAAAAUCCUCUGAUCCAUUGAAGACCACCAGUGGCGAAGGCGGCUUGCCAGAACGCGCUCGACGGUGAGGGAUGAAAGCUGGGGGAGCAAACCGG
rnacentral:rRNA from 1 species